GCUGUUAUUAGCCGUUGAGAUCUAUCUAGGUUUUUAAUCCUAGCCGUUGAGAUCUAUAUAGGAUGUCGAGAACAAAAGAAAAUGAAGAAGCAUUCUUCAGUUCUUUCUUCUUCGUCUCUUCUUCUCACUCAGCGGCAGCAUCAGUUUCUCGAUUCUCUUAGGGUUUGAAUCGAGAUUGAAUAUCAGUAAUAUCAGUGGAUCACCAUCUCUAUCAGGAUUCAGAUAUUGAGAAGAUUAGUCCAAAGGCCAAAGCAGAGAAGAAGGAAGAAUUAGAUUUUUGGGGUUCUCAAGUACUGCACAAUGGCUUGUGGCUGAACCGCUGAACGCUUAAGGAUCGUGAUUUGUUUCAGGGCAGCAGGUGUUACAAAAUACCCAUUAAAGACUUAAAGUACUUCAGAAUGACCACAUCAACUGCAACUCCAACUACAAAUGCAACUGCAACUCCAACUACAAGUACAACUCAACAAACAGAAGUUGGAUCAUCCUCUCAAGCUGCAUCUCACACAAAUGAAUCUGAAACUGCAACUCCAACAAGUAAAGGCAGAGCUGAAGCAGUUGAAGUUGGUGAUAGCAAA